AGACUUUAUUUCUUUGAUCAUACAACUAUGUUAUUUGCUAUAUAAUGUCUAUGGAUAACUAAUAUAUUUAGAUGGUACAUUAUUCUAAUAUAAAAUGUCAUAUACCAUCUUCUUACAUGACAGAUUCUAGCCCCAAGGACUUGCAAACUCAAGACUCAAAACUGGAAGGAAGAGCAAAAUGGAGGCAUAGUGAAAUAGCUACUUAAAGCAUCAAUGUUCAACAACCUCAACCUCAAAACAAGACAAAACUCAUAUUCUGACUUGGACAACACAAUUUAUGAAGUCAAAGAGAGGAAUAUUCUACCAUGACUGAACCAUAACCAGCUUGCAAGAGGAAAACAAAAACAAGCUUCCAGGUUACAAAAACAAUCUUACAUAGUCGAGCUCUUGAGACAAGAAACAUGUUAAGAAAAGAAGUAUGCACACCUGGU